GUGGGUAGCAGUCAUCGGCAGAGAAAACAUGAUGUAUUUGUCACCUAUGGCUGUCCUGUGCCCUGGAGAUUGGAUUCAAUGAGAUUCAAAUCCCGGUUCUCUGCCCUCAAUGGUGGUUCAGUGCUUGUACCACCCCGUGCCAGGUCCUGGGCAAGUGUUUUCACUCGUCCCUCUUUCUCUUGGUCCUUGUGUUUCCAAGAGCUGCCUUGGGACUGGCUCAUGUCAGUCUGUGCAGGAAGCUCAGCCCGUUUACCACUUUCCACAGGAAAAUCUGCCCCCAAGCACAUCAUGAGUUUAGGACCAUUACUGAUGAUUGGUGAGGGCACAGGAAGCUACUGCACCACAAACCAUUGUCUUCUCCUACCUUGCCGGUCUAUCUGGACCUCCCUGGCCUUCCUCUGCCUUCUCCUUUCUCUGGAAGUUGCUCCUUUUCUUCUAUGAGAGCGUGCCAUCCUUGCAUAUUCAGGUCCCCAUGGGGACUCACUUCCCCCCAACAAAUACAUUUGCCUUCCUAAGGAGAGUUCUGAUGAAUACAAUGUUCUACAUAUACAUAACUGUAUCCAUUUGUGUUUUGCAGAGCAUUGAAAUCAUAUAGCAGCAUCAUCCAGACCUGCAGAAUCAUACGUGAUCAUAGCCAGUUCACACUGAAAAAAGCCUUGUAGGAGAUUCGCCAACCUAAUCAUUCAGCUUACAGGCCUUUGGGAAGCCUGUCCCCACAUCUUCUCUGAGACCUGGAAUCUGGACCUUAUGUUGAGGCUGGGCACCCACAUCUGGGAUGUGAUUCCUUUCUGCCCUCACCCCAUCAUUCUCUCUCUCCAGUUUCCCUGCGAUUUCCUCUUGGCCAUAGCCUGGUGUGCCUGAAACAAAGAAAAGAAAUGCAGAUAAUUGGAUCUUCAUGACAUUUUCCCAACUGGCCACUUUCCCUGUAACAAGACCAAGCCUGUCUCUUCCAUUGUACUCUCGUGAGCUACCUGGGUCAGAACCUGAAAUCUUGGCGCAGAAGUCCUGUGGCCUGCCUAUAAACUUCUCAUUCCCGGCAGCUGGCACAUGCAUGGCCCAAUAAAUAUUUCUUGAUUGAAUGGAAGGAGCUGUGAAUAGUGGCCUCCUCAAGCAAAGGACAUUUUAUCUCCCAAAGGGAAAUCUACUUUGUUGAUAUGAAAGUGAGCUUCUUAAUAGGUCUACGGGGCAACAUUUUGCUAACCCCAUUCAAAUUAUAACAGACUUCAAAGUCAUAAAGGCAGUAAUAUGCUUCCUUUUAAGUGUGUAAUUUGUAUUUUUUUACACCCAGGAAUGGAAAACAGGGAGUGAAAUAUCCCCCAAUUAUUAUUUUGUGCUUUUGAGGCAGGAUGGCCCACUCACCUGUGGGGACUCUGGUGGCCAAGCACCUCCCACCUCAUUCUUGGCAAUUGUUUUCAUCUGCCUCCCUUCACACUGGCCCUAGCUCAGGUCUGGAAUCUUCCCAGGGUCUGACCUCUGAGUGUCUGUCUCAUGCAAUUCUGCUGCCCUGGUAUUGACUCUCAGGACACAGAAGUAUACUCUCUGCCACAUUCAUGACCACCCUGGGUGACGUGUCAAGGCAUCUUAGUGCAGCCCUGAGUCCCUUGGAGGGAAAUGGCCCCAGUCUGCUUCCUGUUUGAGGUAGCUCUGUUCUGGAUCACUUGGUCCUCCCCUCUCCCUCCUGCCACUGCUGAUUGCAUUGUGGUGAUCACCCCAAGGUCAUCCCAAAGGCAGGCUGCCGUGUAGAGCCUGGCUUGGCACAGGAGGCCCCAGCCAAUGAUCUCUGAUGCUGACCUCAUGCUCCAGGUGCCUGAAACAAAGAAAAGAAAUGCAGAUAAUUGGAUCUUCAUGACAAUUUCCCAACUGGCCACUUUCCCUGUAACAAGACCAAGCCUGUCUCUUCCAUAUGGGUCAGCCAUAUCCCACCCACUCCUCCUGGGAUUUGACUUGGGGAAUGUGGACAGAAUCACACAGUCAGUAGAAGUUGGAAAGUAGGCGGAAGUGGCCACAUGGGGUAGGGACAUAUCAGAGUUAUGAUGAAUCAGAAGCAGAAGCCCCAAGUUGAAGAAGAGAUACAAAGCUUGGAAGCAGGAAGAGAUGGAGCGGACACACAAAGGAAUCCAACACUGGAGAACGGCAACGUAAAGGUGGCGUGCUAGGGGAAAGCUCCAGAAUUCCUGCAGCUGGGCGCUGGAGCCACCCUGAACUUUCAAAGACCUCCCUAUUCCAGUCUCCACAAUCCCAGGUCCUGGUAUGUCCCUGGAUUUGGGGGGAGAUUCUGGCUCCUUUGUAGCACCACAAUAAACCCUUAUUGCCUGAGUUAUCCCAAGUGACUCCCUGUUCUUUAUGGGCUCACAAGCCAACACACC
rnacentral:lncRNA from 10 species